UACAGAGGGUGCGAGCGUUGUCCGGAAUCACUGGGCGUAAAGGGCGCGUAGGUGGCGCGACAAGUCAGUGGUGAAAGUUCGACGCUCAACGUCGAAUCGGCCACUGAUACUGUUGGGCUUGAGCACUGUAGAGGCUAAUGGAAUUCCGGGUGUAGCGGUGGAAUGCGUAGAGAUCCGGAAGAACACCGGUGGCGAAGGCGGCUCUCUGGGCCGUAACUGACGCUGAGGAGCGAAAGCAUGGGGAGCGAACAGG
rnacentral:rRNA from 1 species